AAUACACCAUACAACUCGAAGAGCUCGUGUGCUCCCAGUGUCAUGCAGUAAUGCAGUAAAUUUUGCUCAUAGCCGGCCCGCAAUACAGCCCACAGAUUCUGGCCAGAAGGUUUCCUGGCGAGGAACACUGAAGUUCGUGAGAGUGUCGACUACAUUGCAGACUGUCCAACGUGAACCUCUCCGAGUGAGUUCGUUCCAAUUGCGUGGGUGAGAGCCAAAAAGCGAGGGACGUGAAACGAUGGGCAAGAGGACGGCGCUGGUGCCAGGGCGAUUCUUGCCCUUCUUGCGUUGUCGUUGCAGCACCUUAUGGUCUCAUGAACCCCGUCAGAGCCCGGAACGCUACACAUGCAUACACACGUAUACACCCGGUUAAAACCGACACGCACCAACAUACAUACAUAUGUACAUAUAUAUGUGUAUAGAUUUAGGGCUGACCAGCCACGGCCAGCGAUCCGCCCACGUCGCGUAAAUUUAAACAUACAAAAAAAAAAUUUACUUGCCAAACACCUUUCACAUUUAAUGUUAUGUUGUUUCUCGUGUCGUCCUUUAUUGUUUUGUUGCAUUCAUUAGUGAUUUAAGUAACUUAAAUGUUGGUGAUUUCCCUACAGCCUGCCUCAUUCAAUAUUGAACAGUCUAGCCCUUGAUAGGUUUGUCUCGGUAGUUGCCCACAUUAACUUAAAGCCUUGUUCAUAUAUAUAUAUUUACCUCCACACAUGCAUAUAACAUCAUUAUCGCAUGAGUAAGAGUAUCCCCGUCAACGUCUCAACACAAUCAUAUAUUUACACGAAGAGUUAUAAUUUAUUGAUUUAUCUAGAUUUUGCAAAACGUUUUGGUGUUUUUGAAAAGUUAAAGUCUAGAUUUAGCGAAAGAUGAGAUUGUUGAUUAUUAGAUAUUAAAGCUUGGAUAUAUCGAAACAUGAUGCAGUAAAUUUAAAUAGAGGAAGGGCGCGAGUUACCGUCCUGGCACCCCUCGAGAUGCCUCCCGCUAAACCACCACGACUCAACUCAGCAUAAAAAUCCAACUCAAGUUGCACGAGCACGAUGUUUAUGCCGCCUAAGCAUAUGGCAUCAGCACAGUCAACAUUGUCUACCAUAUAAACCGGAAGGACCCCAGCCAAGAAUCAGCAAACUGACCUUAAAUGUAACAUCAGCAUUUUCUUAGGAACCCCAGCUGCAGCUAUGCCGACAGCGACGCCAAAGAACCAGCGGCAGAGCCGCCUACAUAAGUCAGUGAUCGCCACUGACCAAGCAGUCAAUUCCUGAAUCCCAGCCGGAAUACUUUUGUCACUCCAGAUAUAUCUUGAAGCUCCAAUAAACGUUUUACCAUAUUCACAUAAA